GCGUGUGUGUGCGUGUGUGCAUGUGUGCGUGUCUGUGUGUGCGUGUGUGUUUGUGUAUCUGCUUCCUUGAUGGUUGUUAGUUGUCCCCACUAGAAUUUGAGCUCCCUGGGGACAGGAACCUAAUGGUCCACUAUUGUAGCCACCCUCAUUGAAUCCUGAAACGUGGUUGAAAGCUGACUCUGUGCCAGGCCCUAAUCAGUGUGCUGAGAAAGAAACAGAAGUCUGCUCUCUCAGAGCUUACCUCCUCCCGAGAGAAGACAGACAAUGAGCAAGUAACCCUAGGGUGGACAGAAGAGGCCUCCUGAUAAAGUGACAUUUGAGCAGACACCUGAAGGAGGUGAGGAAGAGAGCCCUGCAGAUACCCAGGGGAAGAGCUGAAAAGUACAAGGAACAGCGAAUGCAAAGGUCCUGAGGCAGGAGCGUGCUUGACUUGCACAAGAACAGCAAACACCAAGCAGAAUGCCUGGCCUGUAUUAGACCCCGUAAACGCCUGAACUACAUACAUG
rnacentral:lncRNA from 10 species